ACCAUGGUUUCUUUUUCUUCCCUACGUUGUAUUUCUACUUCCUCCUCAAAAACACUGUCUGCAUCUCUAAAGAAGACACAGAUUUCUUAAGAUAUAUUGGGGAAUGGUAGACGUCCUUUUUCUUAGGGCAUAUCAUCUGGGAAUGGUUAGCUCCCUCCCGAAUCUCAUUAAGAAGUUUUUCAAUUCUUCAUCCCCUGAUCUGGGAAUAUUAGGAAGACAUGCGUCGAGAAGGGAAUAUAGUAGUAGUUCCAAUGGGUGUACUAACGACUGCAGCAGCAUCAAAAAGUUGGGUUUCAUUAGAUUCUACCGGUAAAGCUACAGUCUUAGAUGUUGAUAUUUUGCAUAGACUUCAGAUUCAUGCAAGAGAUUUCCGGAUUCUUGAUCCUUUAUUAUCUUAUCCUUGUGCCAUUUUAGGGAGAGAAAAAGCCAUUCUUGUUAAUCUAGAGCAUUUCAAAGCUAUAAUAACUGCAGAAGAGGUAUUACUUCGGUAUCCAAUGGAUGAUAAUGUAAUUCCCAUUGUUGAAGAACUUAAAACGCGGCUUCUUCCAGGAGACAAAGAAGAUGAAUCUCCCUUUGAGUUCCUGGCUUUAGAAGUGGCACUCGAAGCUGUUUGUAAUUUUCUCGAUGCCCGGGCAACAGAUUUGGAGGCUGCUUCUUAUCCAGCAUUAGAUGAGCUGACAUCCAAGAUUAGUAGUCGUAGCUUGGAUGGUGUUUGUAAACUGAAGAUUGAAAUAACGAGAUUGGCUGCAUGCGUGCAAAAGGUUAGAGAUGUGCUUAAACAACUUUUAAACGAUGGCGACAAUAUGGCCGAAAUGUACUUAUCACGGAAACUACCUUCAUCAUCUUCCAUCAGUGGAAGUGCAGGAACAUUUCCGGGAGAUAAUCCGAACGAUGUUAAAGAGCUUAAAAUGCUGCUUGAGGCAUACUUCGUAGAAGCUGACCGUACCUUGAACAGAUUGACCACCUUAGGUAAAUAUAUUGAUGUCACCGAGGAGUACAAGCUCAAAAAUCACAGAAAUCAGUCGAGUCAGUUGGAGCACCUCCUAAAUUCUGGUACUCUUUGCCAGUCAAUGUAUUCCGCCGUGGUUGGGAUAUUUGACAUAAAUAUACCAUUUACAUGGAAUCAUGCCCCAUAUGACUUUGUGUUUAAAUGGGUGGUUAUUGUCCCGGGAGUGGUAUGUGCAGCUGUUUUUGGACUGAUUGUAGAGUAUGCCCGCCGCAAGGGUCUUGUUGGGUAAUAGUUAAGAAAACCUUUCUUUCAGUACUACCACCAUAUUAUGAUCAGGAAUUAGGGCUUUUAUUUUUGAUGCGAGCGCCCGGUUGUUGUUCUAGCUCUAUGUCUUCUUGGAAACUUCUCUCCAUUGCAUCUACUUGUUCACUAGGCAACCACAUUUUCCUCCUCGUCUCCGCUUGGUUGUUGAUAUAUGCACUACUAGACCAUAGCUUCGUCAUCUCCGCUCCUACAUAUCCUAUUCCGAUUGCAAAAACAGACUAGCUUGUUAACAGAUAGUUUCACACGCAAGCACGAUGGAAAAAAUAGAGUUCUUGGCCGCGAAAAAUACACAUGGAAAACAAACGGUUUAAACUUGGAAAUGUGUCGCCGAAGGAUUCAUAGUGGCAGUAAUACUCAAAAAGAAACGGAACAUAAUUUUGUCGGUGUUGUUGCUCUCUUCUUGAUGUUGUACUAGUUGGGGAAGGAAUGUGAGAAGUACUACUACUGCAAUUACUCCUAUUAGCCAU